GAGGGAGCCCCUCCCUCUAAAAGCACUCUGUGUGGGGAAGAUGAGAGCCAGAGCAAAGCUCAGAGGAACCAACCUGGAUCUGGACCUGGAUCUGGAUCUGGAUCCCAUUGGGGGUCCUUGAGGAGUGAAAGAUCAAGGAAUUGGUCUCCUGACUUCAAAGACAUCAGUUCAGUAGGGGGACAGAUCCAUCAGAGAUUCAGAACUGGAUCUGAACCCAGCUGUGUGUCCUUCAGGAGUGACCAUUCAAAUUUUCGUUUUAUCGACUUUAAAUCAUCAUCUUCUGGUGGAGAGAGAGUGGACCAGCAGAGCUCAGAGACCCCCAGUGGUCCGUCUGUCCAGCAGCAUCAAACACAG